UCCCUGGUAGCUCAGAGGUUAAAGCGUCUGCCUGCAAUGCAGGAGACCAGGGUUCGAUUCCUGAGUUGGGAA
rnacentral:tRNA from 1 species